rnacentral:rRNA from 1 species
AUUGAACGCUGGCGGCAGGCCUACCACAUGCAAGUAGAACGAGUGGCGGACGGGUGAGUAAUGUCUGGGAAACUGACUGAUGGAGGGGGAUAACUACUGGAAACGGUAGCUAAUACCGCAUACCCUCGGAUGUGACCAGAUGGGAUUGGCUUGGAGGGGGGGUAACGGCGCACCUAGGCGACGAUCCCUAGCUGGUCUGAGAGGAUGACCAGCCACACUGUAACUGAGACACGGUCCAGACUCCUAGGGGAGGCAGCAGUGGGGAAUAUUGCACAAUGGGCGAAAGCAUGAUGCAGCCAUGCCGCGUGUAUGAAGAAGGCCUUCGGGUUGUAAAGUACUUUCAGCGGGGAGGCGUUACUCGCAGAAGAAGCACCGGCUAACUCCGUGCCAGCAGCCGCGGUAAUAC